CUUUUUUUUUCAGAAUUAUUUUUUAACUAAAUUAUUGUCUUUAUUUAAAAAUAUAGAAAUGCACAGUCUUUUUCUAAAUACAUAAUGUGUUUGAAAUCAAACCUUAAGAUAGUCUUUUUUUAAAAAAAUAUGUUGAGUAGCCUUUGUGAGACAGCCCAGAGGCUUAAGACACUUGUCACUAAACCUGAUUUGACCUCCAGGUCCUACUUAGUAGGGUGGGAGAAUUGGAUCCUUGUAAGUUGUCCUGUCUCCCAAUGUACACCUUGGCACCCAUGUAACUACUCACAAUAUAUAUAAAUAAGUGUAAGAGAAUCUUGAGUAUAUCAUUUGAAAGUGUUGGCAUUGUAAAUAACAGAUUUUGAGCUGACACAUAGUAUUUCACUAGAUACUAGAAUAGUCCAUGAGCUAUAUACCUGCUUGACCAUACACCAUUAAUGUAAUACUAAUAAUUCUAUACUACUAAUAUAAAUACUUUAAUGAUACUAUUAAUAUAUUUUGAUUUCAAAUAUCCUAUUGUGCUGUUCCAUAAAUAUAUUUGAAUAUGUCUAACCUGGGUCUCAAUAUGGAAUUGAGAAGUUACCAUAUAUAAACCCAACAUUAGCUGGGUAUUAGUAUUACAUAUGUAUUCUUUACCUCAGGGCUACACUUUGAGCCCUAUUUUUUAUUUUUUGACUUCGUGUUUUUGGUUUGGUUUGGUUUUUUGAGAAAUAGUUUAUGUAGCCCUGGAACUCAUUUUGUAGACCAUUCUGUGUUAUGCAGUUAAAUACCUUAGGUACCCAUAAAAUACAUGUGCACAUAUUGCUAUAUUUUAAAGUACUAGAUAACAAUACAAAGGUUUUAUACAUAUAUAGUCAUUUUUUCUUGUCAGUUGUUUGUUUUCAGGGGUAGAGGAAUUGAAAGUCUCUUGUACCCCAGGCUGGCCUACAACAUGAUAGAUAGCCUCACCUUGGACUACUUCUGAUCCUCAGACCUCCAGCUCUGGAGGGACGAGAUUCCAGGGCCAGGGAGAUGCCUCAAUGGGUAAAGCAUUUGCUGCCAAGUCCAGUGUCUGAGUUCAAACCUUGGAGAUUCACAUGGUAGAAGAAAAGCAACUCCUACACGUUGUUCUCCGAUCUCUCCAGG
rnacentral:sRNA from 1 species